rnacentral:rRNA from 1 species
GACGAACGCUGGCGGCGUGCUUAACACAUGCAAGUCGAACGGAAAGGCCCUGCUUUUGUGGGGUGCUCGAGUGGCGAACGGGUGAGUAACACGUGAGUAACCUGCCCUUGACUUUGGGAUAACUUCAGGAAACUGGGGCUAAUACCGGAUAGGAGCUCCUGCUGCAUGGUGGGGGUUGGAAAGUUUCGGCGGUUGGGGAUGGACUCGCGGCUUAUCAGCUUGUUGGUGGGGUAGUGGCUUACCAAGGCUUUGACGGGUAGCCGGCCUGAGAGGGUGACCGGCCACAUUGGGACUGAGAUACGGCCCAGACUCCUACGGGAGGCAGCAGUGGGGAAUAUUGCACAAGGGGCGGAAGCCUGAUGCAGCAACGCCGCGUGCGGGAUGACGGCCUUCGGGUUGUAAACCGCUUUCGCCUGUGGCGAAGCGUGAGUGACGGUAAUGGGUAAAGAAGCACCGGCUAACUACGU